rnacentral:rRNA from 1 species
UGGGGAAUAUUGGGCAAUGGACGAAAGUCUGACCCAGCCAUGCCGCGUGUGUGAUGACGGCCUUAGGGUUGUAAAGCACUUUCGCAGGUGAAGAUAAUGACGGUAACCUGAUAAGAAGCCCCGGCUAACUUCGUGCCAGCAGCCGCGGUAAUACGAAGGGGGCUAGCGUUGUUCGGAAUUACCGGGCGUAAAGCGCAUGUAGGCGGAUAUGCUGGCAAGGGGUGAAAUCCCGGGGCUUAACCUCGGAAUUGCCUUUUGAACUGCAUAUCUGGAGUUUUGGAGGGGAGUGCGGAAUUUCUAAUGUAGAGGUGAAAUUCGUAGAUAUUAGAAGGAACACCGGCGGCGAAGGCGGCACUCUGGACAAAUACUGACGCUGAGAUGCGAA